GUGGGCUGAGUGGACGAGGAGCCGACAACCUUACCCUCAGGAGAAGCAAAACCUCAGAAGACACUCAAAGAGAAGAAGGAAAGGAGAACUCCUUCAGACGAUGAAGAGGAUAACUUAUUCGCACCCCCCAAGCUGACCGACGAGGACUUCUCGCCAUUUGGCUCUGGAGGCGGCCUGUUCAGUGGGGGCAAGGGGCUCUUUGAUGAUGAGGACGAGGAGAGUGACCUCUUCACGGAAGC